GAUACCGCAAAACAUCGUAGAAAAUGUAAGAAAUCGCUCAAGACAUGACAGAAAACAUCACGUAAUACAUUACGCAAAAUUUCAUCCUUAGUUUCAGUACAUUCGUGAUGUACUUGAACGAUCAAUAAACAUUUAUCCACAGAGGCAGGUUUUUGUUGAUCUUCUUGCUCUUGUAUAGCUCUCGUUGUUGUUUUUCUUGCUCUCUUCACUGAGCGUAAUUUGUCUUUUCGAGUUAUUUAUAGGUUGCGUUGCGAUUUUCUGAGGCAGAAGUACAUGUAAGUGUAAAAUUCUAUACUUUCUGAUGCGGAUAUGUCGUGUUGAUUGUGAUGGCUCCUGGCGGUAGAUGUCGUCGCUGUUGGGGUGCUGUCGUAUUUUCUUCCUAUUAUAGAAUCGUGAAAGGAAAAUAACGGACUACGGGCGACGGGAUUCGAUCCCGGGUUCCAAAACGUUCGUAACCUAUGUCGCUAACCACUGCGCUAUCGUCGUCCGGUUUUAGUUAGUGUCGAAAAGGCGGUAUUUGUGCUGUCGAGUGUCGCCACAUUUCUUUGUGAUUACAAGAUAACGUUGCAUGUAACCAAAAGAGACGAAAUUUCCUCUCUGAUACUGGAAUCGAAACUACCCCAUCUAUGGCUUGCUGCUAGAACUAGGGUUUGGUGUAAGCGAUAACACAGAGUGAGGUUCUUAUCAUCGGUCACUAUGGGAUAUGAGCAAGUACGGACGCAGUAUUAUACUAAAUACAAAGAUCAAAUUGGCAUACCAUUUGUGGUGAGCUAAAAACUUAUGUCUAUUUAACAAGUUAAUGGAAGGAAUAAGGUAACAUAAAAGUCAUUCCAUAUGCAAAGAGUCUGCAGCUCUGCUUUCUGCUGAAAAUAGCAUCCACGAGGUCUAAUUUCAACGCUUAACUUUCCAUUUAAAUAUGCUCAAUAUUCUCUACCAUGAGUUUGCACUGUUUGUGAUUUAAUUACUUUAUGUAAUUGUAUUUUAAAUGUCUUUUAGAGGCUUUCAUUAAAUGUUUUGUUAAACUGAUUAGUUAAAUUAAUACAAAGCGUCUAAAAUACAUUUAUAUGUUUAUUUACCGUUACAAUUCCGUGUCAUUUAUUUUCAUUGAAUGCAAAAAUUAGGAAUAUUCAUCAGUCUUUAAUAGAAUUUGUCAUGUGUACACGACUAAUUAAUCUUAUCACGGCUACAGAAAAGAGUAUCCUCGUAUAUACAGACACUCUUAUAUAAUUCACAUUAUACUUAAUAAAAUUUACAAUUCAGAUGCAAUUCAGAUUCAAAUUCAUGCAAUAGCGCUCGACGUAGCUUAGACCUUCGUAACCUGAGCGUAGACGAGAUCGUGCCAUGACGGUGCCGCAAAAAACCAUCGCUACCUGCCAGGUGAACGAGCCAAAGGCACAAUGACACAUAAUUAUUCACGAUAGCUGAUUGUUAUUUAAUCGGAGCUAGUUUUUACAAGCAAAACAAAGAACCCUGCAAUCCAAUUAUGCAUUUAUGAAUGCAAAGAUCUCAUCAUUCUAAAGAAUAUAUAUCUCUAUUAUUAAUAUAUAUUAUUAUUAUUACAUACAUAAUUAAUAAAAUAUUAUUGCAUUACACACAAUUUGACAAAAAGAUAUUUUGAACAAAAGCUAAUAGGCUCCCAAUCGACUACAAGUUUCAAUGCAUGAAAUUUCAAAAAAAUUGUUGUUUCGAUAAAAUGUGACUUUAUACUACGAUCUUGAAAUGUCCCUCAAUCUUGAAACCUUCUGUAACAGCAACAGAUAUUUUCUUCAUUAAUGCUGAAAAAGUUCUCAGCUGUUGUAACAUAUACCAAAUAUUCAAUGAAUAGAUACUACAACGAUAUUAAAUCAUUAUUACAAUUAAAUGGAUGUAAAUAUGUUAUUUAUUUUUAAUACUUAGGGUGUUCACAGUUUAAAGCUUAUUUAUGUUUUUGAUUAAUGUCAACAAUUUUGAAGUUAAGAACGUCACUGAAUUGCACAUAAAUAAUAUAUUAUCGAUUCCAUAGUAUAAUAUAUAAUUAUAUUAUGGAAUUGCUAUCUACUUCAGCUUAUAUAAAUGAUAAAAAUGUGUUAUUUGUAAAUUAUUCUUAAUACGUUAUCUUUUCCGCUCAAUACCCCUUAUGAAUUUUAAUCCGAAACAUGAAACCUUAUCAAGGCCUAUUUCGAUGAAAACCCAAGGUCUAGUGUUCGUGAGAUAGCAGAUGCUGUAAACAUGAUCUAAGACUGAUAAACCAGCGCACAGAUGUAGACUCAGUUAAAGAUGUAAACCCAGUGCAGAGAUGAUGACUGACCGGACGAUGGUAAACCAGUGUAGAGAUGUUGACUGAUCUGUAGAUGUAAAAACGGAUUGAACUGUCCGCGAAUGACCACAGGAAACACGAGAUGUGAUGUCAAACAUGUGGUGUAACAUGUGAUAUGUCAUAACCUCUACGUAUGCAACACUAUUGCAAGGAGAAAACCAAGUUAAUAAAGACUGGUGCCCGAGAAACCAAGUUUGGUCAAAAAGUUAAAGCACCAACAAUAAUAAGAUAAAACUGCCAUAUACAUGUUUGGCAAUUUAAGAAGCACCACGGAAGAUAAGGAAUUCGAAAUUUGUUUAGAGCGUCGAUAGAAACCUAACAUCCGAUAGCCAACGACUUUUGCUCACUUAAUUUCUUGGGAACUGACGAAUUUAUAACGUUUUACAACAGUACAUGACUUCACGUGCAAGGUUAUUGAAUUCAUUCCAGCAAUCUUAAUAGUACGUACUGAGAAAAAAAUAUUUAUGUGGUUCCAUGCUGCGAUGAGAAAAUAUUUCUGCCAUUGGAAUUAUUGCGCGAUAUUGUUAUUCUCAAAGUUGUCUAUCUCGGAUAGGCAAAUAGAUAUGAACUUUUCCGUAGAACCAUACAAUUAAAUAGGUUCUUGUACCGUGGAAAACAAUAGGUUCUUGUCUAUACUAGCGUGUAACCAAACAGUUCGGAUCCAUAAUUUUAUAGAAUAUUGUAUAUGGUAGCGUGUGUCAUCUUCAGUACCUAGCCGCAUUGUGCACUACUAGUCCGGGAACAACCAGAACCAUAAACUUGAACGCUCUCAUUCCUUCUCUAAUACUACUAAAGUACUCGAAAAAUACAACUGCUGAUCAAAUAUUCCUCUCUCUGGAGGCAUACAAGUAUGCACAUACACAUGAAUGCUGUUAGCUUCCAUUGAUUCUUCUUUAAUAAGUACUUUAUCGAGUGAACGUCGUUUAUGAGUAGAGGACGCUGAAAUGAGUGUCGAAUUUCCAAGUCGGUAAGACAGUUACAUCGGGCCACAAAGAUGCAAAAGAGUGUUUAAAUAGCAAGGAAAAAAUAAAGGGAAAAUACAAGAAAAGGCCAAGUGGAAAGGAAGUUAUGCAACAAAAAUAAUGGAUUGAUCUGUUUGGAUGAUAACUGGGUAUUAACCUGUAUCAAUAGAUGCUACUUUUCCUGUAUUU